GGGUCAGUAGGUUGGUCGUGCCACCGGUACGUACUGGUCUCACUGAUUCCUCCUUCCUGAAGAACCGUAAUGCCAUUAAUUUGGUGUUGCGGGGAAACAGGACUGUUACUUUGAAAAAAUUAGGGUGUUUAAAGCAAGCUAACGCUUGAAUACAUUAGCAUGGAAUAAUGAAAUAGGACGAUCGAUCCUAUUUUGUUGGUCUCUAGGAUUGACGUA
rnacentral:rRNA from 1 species